rnacentral:tRNA from 1 species
GCCUGAGUCGCUCAAUAGGUUAAGCAUCCGACUUCGGCUCAGUUCAUGAUCUCACGGUUCGUGGGUUCGAGCCCCACGUCGGGCU